rnacentral:rRNA from 1 species
UACGAAGGGGGCUAGCGUUGCUCGGAUUGACUGGGCGUAAAGGGCGCGUAGGCGGUUCGUACAGUCAGACGUGAAAUUCCUGGGCUCGACCGUGGAAGUGCAUUCGAAACUGCGAGGCUGGAGUCCUGGAGAGGAAAGUGGAAUACUCGGUGUAGAGGUGAAAUUCGUAGAUAUCGAGUGGAACACCGGUGGCGAAGGCGGCUUUCUGGACAGGUACUGACGCUGAGACGCGAAAGCGUGGGGAGCAAACAGG